rnacentral:tRNA from 1 species
GGGCCGUUAGCUCAGCAGGCAGAGCGAUUGAUUCUUAAUCAAUAGGUUGCAGGUUCGAUCCCUGCACGGCUCA